AACAGCCUGGAGGCGACACUCGCGGAGGAAACGAGGCUUGCACGGAGUACCCAGCCCGCCCGCCCCACCCCCAGGGACUCCGGUGCUGGAAGACCCUCGCCCUCCGCCCGGUUUCGGAAUCACUGGUUUUAAAAUCGAAAUCGAAUAAAUCGCGUGGCGUUUUUUGCAGCGCCAGAAAAGGCUGAAGCGGGCCAGUGACUACAUCUCUCUGGGUCUGUGUUCACCUUGGUGAGCCGAAAACUCCAGAGACACCUGUGGACACACCAGCUUGAACCCAGAGCUUUGCCUGUGCUAGGCAAGAGAGGACAAUGCUCUCAGUCUUCCCCCUGAGGAUACAUUGCAAGAACUCCAGCGUGCACAGAAAGAGAACCAAGAGUGGAACUGGUAUGUGCAGUGCCUGCGGGGGCCAGAAGAAGGCAUCAGACCUAAGAGGGACAGUUUUAAGUUGGAGCGUCUGAGAAGAUGGCAGAACUUACUUCAAGGGCUGCAGGAUGGUGGCUCACACCUACUAUCCUACCACCUAGGGGGAGCCGAUGGAGGAGAAUCGGGAGUUCAAGGUCAUCCUGGACUACAUAGCAAAUUUGAGGUCAGCCUGGACGGCCGAAGGUCCUGGAUUCAACUCUCAGCAUUGCAAAAAUAAUAAAGAUCUUAUACCCGAGAGGAGUCCAUAGGAUCAGAGUCCUUGAGUACAAGGCACAGACAAGGUUAAGAGGCUAACAGGCCACUUGGCUGUCACAUGGAGAGCAGACUGCCAGCUCAAGGCUGAAGCAGGAAGAGCAUUUAGGAUGGAAGAUGGUACCGUGCACCUGAGUGGUAGCCGUGAGGAUGGGUGAAGUGGGCGUGCACCGUAUGUAUAUUCUAACAGAAUUUGCUGAUUCUGUUAAAGAAAGAGAAAGAGUUAGGGUUGGGGAUUUAGCUCAGUGGUAGAGCGCUUGCCUAGCAAGUGCAAGGCCCUGGGUUCAGUCCUCAGCACUGAGAAAGAAAGAAAGA
ensembl:lncRNA